CUGUAUAUAUUAUCCUUGCAAAGCAUCAUGGUAUUAAAAUGGCUGAACUGAGAAAAUGUUCAAACUGCCAAUAAACCUCUUGCUGUAUUUCCCAUCUUUAUGUCAGAGCAUCAGAAACAUUUAGGAUUUCUUUACUCCUGGGGCCAAGUCCCAAAUGUAGUGGUCUAUAUAGGGAAUAGCAGAACAGCAACUUGUUUUAACCGUCUAACCAACAUCUUCCAUCACAAGUGUUAAACCCCACUUCCCUUCUCUACAUCAGAGUCCGAUGCUGGUAGACCAGAGAAUCUAGCUACCCCACUUCCCUUCUCUACCAUCAGAGACCGAUGCUGGUAGACCAGAGAACAGAAGACCUCUGUUAUCAAUGUAACAUCCCAGGACAGGCUGACCCAGACAUGUGUACAUCAGGAAGCUCUGACAUCAUAUCCUCCCUCCUCUACAUCAGGAAGCUCUGACAUCAUAUCCUCCCUCUCUACAUCAGGAAGCUCUGACAUCAUAUCCUCCCUCCUCUACAUCAGGAAGCUCUGACAUCAUAUCCUCCCUCCUCUACAUCAGGAAGCUCUGACAUCAUAUCCUCCCUCUUGUUGCUCCGUUAUAUCCUGAUAUAGGAACUGCAGCACCAACCUUAUUCACGACGUCGCUCCGCUCAAAACGUCCAGACCACACAAACACA
rnacentral:lncRNA from 1 species